UUGUAGUUUGAUCGAAAUUCUGAGUAUUUGAGUAGUGUGGGGAUGUUGUGGCUAAUUUUUUAGGAGGAUAAUGGGGGGUUUCGGUAGUUGUGGAAUUGGUGGAGGAAAAUAAGGAAUUUGAGGUGUAGUGGGAAGUGGACGGUUUGUAGAGGGAUAGUAGGAGAGUUUUUAGGAGCGAAUUAGGGGAGGUUGGGGAUUAUCCAAAUCUGAUUUCAUUUUUUUUUGCUAUUUCGAAAAUCCCCAAAGUAUUCCUCUUUCUUCUGACGGCUAUUCUACCUUCUCCUUGCCGAAAUAUUGUGAAUUUCUUUCCAUUUUGAUCUGUAUUUUCUUUAUUCCCUACCUUGCUGCCGAAUUUUUGUUCUUCUUGUACCACUCUCCCUUUCGUUCUCUUUAUUCAUAUAGUUCUUCGACGCGACAUUGAGUCUUACACACGCGGUAAGUCCAAUUUCGGUUCUGGCUUUUGUUUCUCUUAAUUUUCGAUCGACAAUUCUUAGUUCUUUGGUG
rnacentral:lncRNA from 1 species